AGUAGUUAAAACGCCUGUCGUCCCACAAGCUAAGCUGGGUUGGGCCAGGUCAGUAUUAGGCUGGGAAAUUCUUAAAGAACGCAGGUCUUGAUGACUC
rnacentral:rRNA from 1 species